GACGAACGCUGGCGGCGUGCCUAACACAUGCAAGUCGAGCGGUAAGGCCCCUUCGGGGGUACACGAGCGGCGAACGGGUGAGUAACACGUGGGUGACCUGCCCUCAGCUCUGGGAUAAGCCUGGGAAACUGGGUCUAAUACCGGAUAUGACUCCAUGACGCAUGUCGUGGGGUGGAAAGCCUUGUGCGGCUGGGGAUGGGCCCGCGGCCUAUCAGCUUGUUGGUGGGGUGANGGCCUACCAAGGCGACGACGGGUAGCCGGCCUGAGAGGGCGACCGGCCACACUGGGACUGAGACACGGCCCAGACUCCUACGGGAGGCAGCAGUGGGGAAUCUUGCGCAAUGGGCGAAAGCCUGACGCAGCGACGCCGCGUGAGGGAUGACGGCCU
rnacentral:rRNA from 1 species